CUGGGCUACACACGUGCUACAAUGGACGGUACAACGAGUCGCAAGACCGCGAGGUUUAGCAAAUCUCUUAAAGCCGUUCUCAGUUCGGAUUGUAGGCUGCAACUCGCCUACAUGAAGUCGGAAUCGCUAGUAAUCGCGGAUCAGCAUGCCGCGGUGAAUACGUUCCCGGGCCUUGUACACACCGCCCGUCACACCAUGAGAGUUUGUAACACCCAAAGCCGGUGGGGUAACCUUUUGGAGCCAGCCGUCUAAGGUGGGAUAGAUGAUUAGGGUGAAGUCGUAACAAGGUAGCCGUAGGAGAACCUGCGGCUGGAUCACCUCCUUU
rnacentral:rRNA from 1 species